rnacentral:rRNA from 1 species
UCAGGACGAACGCUGGCGGCGUGCCUAAUACAUGCAAGUCGAACGGUCUUUCUAUGGAAGCUUGCUUCCACUGGGAAGAUAGUGGCGAAACGGGGUGAGGUAACACGUGGGGUAACCUAGCCCAUAAGAGGGGGGAGUAACAUCCGGAAACGGGUAGCUAAUACCGCAUAGUUUUCUUGAUCGCAUGAUUGAGAAAGGAAAGACGGCCUUUGUGCUGUCGCUUAUGGAUGGACCCGCGGCGUAUUAGUUAGUUGGUGAGGUAACGGCUCACCAAGACGAUGAUACGUAGCCGACCUGAGAGGGUGAUCGGCCACAUUGGGACUGAGACACGGCCCAAACUCCUACGGGAGGCAGCAGUAGGGAAUCUUCCGCAAUGGACGAAAGUCUGACGGAGCAACGCCGCGUGAGUGAAGAAAAGGGUUUUCGGAUCGUAAAACUCUGUUGUCAGAGAAGAACAAGUUGGAGAGUAACUGCUCCAGCCUUGACGGUAUCUGACCAGAAAGCCACGGCUAACUACGUGCCAGCCGCGGC